AUAGUGAACUGCAAGAUGGAAGUACGAUAUAUAAAAAGGCAAUUUUUCAGUGAUGCCAUUUCAUGUUGUUGACAUUGCAGAAGCUUUAAAUAUGCUCCAUGCCUCCUUGGACCACGUUUCUUUUGAUUGUGAUCAACUUCCUGCCCUGUUUUUUCUCGCGGAAUCAGUUUUAUAUCGAUUGUGUUGUGAUGCAUUCAUGAAGGGAUUUUUAUAUUCAGUUGAAAUAAAGCUGCUUAAGAUUGGCUACUUGAUCUUCUUACGACUUUUUGUAUUUUUCCUGCAUGGUCACUUGGAAAGUUUCAAACAACAUUUACUUAGGCUGCAACCAUAUUUAUACGCACUUUAUUUCUCUGAAGCAUCCUACCACAAGUAUCCAAACAUCUUCUCAAAUGUGCAGUUCAUUCUGAAAACAUCGGAAAUUAUAUGUAAAAGAGAACUACAUUCUGAAACAGAAUGGGGAUGUGCAGAUGGACCGGAGACUAUAUAUUCUGAUUUGGACCCUUUUGAGUUGAACAACGGGGGCUAUGAAGUCAACCACCUGCUUUGGCACUGCGUGACUGCCUGGACUUGUGUUCAGAACAAUAGUCCUCAGCUGAGUAAAGUGCUUGACCAUCUCCUCUUCCACAAAACACAGCUUCAAACGAAAUGCUGGUUGGAUUCAGUGCUGGCUUUGCUGGUCCUGGGGGAAGCUGCUAAGUUGAACAUGGCCUGCUUGAAAACUCUGAUGGACCUAGUGAGAGAGUUCCUCUCCAGCAGCUUGUUUAUUCAGAACAAGGAAGAAAAUCAUAAGGCAUAUGACCUUUCCUGGGCCUCAGAAGUUAUCUUCACAUAUACAACAAUUAUUUCGGAAGUGUGUUUAUAUGCAGCUACCUCUUCUCUGAGGAAAACAGCUUUGAUUGGGUUCUGUGACUGUACAAGUCCACAGAAGGAGCUUGUGUUCAUGGACAAGUGGGAAGAACCCCCAGAAUUAGAGGGAACAAGCAUUUUAAGUCUUUUGAAAUAUUUCUCUUCCAAGAUCUCUGUCAAUUGUGCUAAGGUGGUCUGGAUUGGAUACUAUGGCAUAGUGUAUAACAUGGUGAAGAUGUCAUGGGAACUUCAGGGUGAUGAGGAACAGGAUGGACUUAGAAACUUGAUAUGGCAAACACUUCAAAAGAUAAAGGACUAUGAGCAAGAUCCACGAAUCCAAAGCGCACUAACUAUAGCCCACGCUGAAUUAAAUGACCCCGUUGACCCUUUUACAAGGUACAGCACAAAAGUCGCACCAAACCUAGGAGAAGAAGUUUUCUCUAAGUACAUUGGGUGGAGAGUCGCCAACACCCUCUCCAAGCUCUUCUUCCCCUCUCUUGAUACCUGUGAGCACCCUUCAAAGGAGUCAGUGGAAAUCCAUCUGCAAAGAAAGCACAGAGUCAAAACACAACAGCCAGCAAAGAAGAAAGUUCUACAUUUUGUUGUGAAUUUUUGACCCCUGCCCCAUCCUUGUCCUGUGACGCUCAUCCACUUCUGAAGAUGGAUUGAAUAAUACAGGAGAGGAGAGAGUAAACAGACAGUUUGUUUUAGCAAGAAGAGGAGGCACCCCUACAGAUUUAGGAAAUGGAAUG